rnacentral:piRNA from 1 species
UAGACAAAAUCUAGGCAGAGAUGGUUU